AUAUCCUUUUUCUUUUUCAAUUUUUUCUUCUUUAAAUUAUUUCUAAAUUUUCUUGUUAAACUCUUUCUCGGCGUUGCGAAGGAACUUUCCAAAUAUAUUUUUGUUUGCCGGAUUCUUGGAGUUAAAAGAAGAAGCACCUAUCAGUAUCACUCCUCCAUCUUCUUGCUAGCAAGUUGUCUUUUUAUCUUCUGGGUCUGCAUUUUUCCAAUACAAUCUCAUAAUCUAGUUUGAAGACCAAUGGAAUCAUGGAUGGAGGGAUCAAAGGCGGAUGGGUAGAGUAAAAAGAUUAAACAGAAAGAAAACUGUGUAAGACUGACAUAUUCAGUCAAGGGGAUAUGGUAAUUCCUUUGGAUGGAGGGGAUCAGUUCCAAAAGUUUAAGCAAAGCUCUACUGUGCCCAAGUUUGACAACUGGGAAAGUGAAGAGAAUGUGCCCUACACGGCCUAUUUUGAGAAGGCGAGGAAGGGAAGAACUGAAGGCAAAGUGAAUGGAAGUUACUCUGAAAUAAACUCUCAAAUUUUAAAUACCAAGCCUCAAAUUCAUGCCUCCUCUUUCCAAAUGAAACCAACAGAUGUGCUAAGAGCGCAAGAAGCCGUGAGGUCAAAGCAUGAACAUUUAAGCCAAGAAGAGUUUGAUUUAAGGAGAUCAAAUGAUGAUGUUGACAAGAUCGAUGGCGCAAAGGUACUAAGGGCAAAUCAUGAACAUGGGGAAGAUGGUGAACAGAGGAGACCAGCAAAUUCUCCACUGCGCCAUGAUAAUGCUCAGAGGGUGGCAACUGACUCAAAUCUUCACCAUUAUGGUGGUGUGAGCUCUAGCGACACCCAUAAAAGGUUUAUGCGGAGGAGUGCAGCCUCUGAUCUCAGCACUGAACAGCCACAACUACACCCACAUAACCAGGCAAAAAUUGGUAGCAAAGGUAAUGUAGUAUCUUCGCCGACGUGGGAAAGAAAGGGUUCAUCAGAAGGUACUCAUGGUCUAGCUCCCAUGACCCCUGGAAGAUCCCGAUUGAAAUCAGUCACCCGAGGCAAUGAUUGUCCUGAUGACAGUGCUGCUGUUCCAAAAUUUGGGGAAUGGGAUGAGAUGAACCCCGCAUCAGCUGAUGGGUACACUCACAUUUUCAACAAAGUACGAGAAGAAAGACAGGGUGGAGUGGCAAAGGUGCCUGUCCUACCGACUGAAACUUCUCAUUCCAAUGGGCACAAGCAGUAUGGCAAUGAAAAUUCCAAGCAGAGCUGUUGCUGCUUUUCCUGGGGAAGAAGGUGAUGCUUUUUGUCCAUUUGAUCAAAUAGAGUGCACAAGACACGUCAUAUAUGUAUUUAUGCAGCAAUUUCGCCAGAAAGUGAUUUUGGAACUGUCCAGAAGCCGAAACAGGAGGCUGAAGAAAUUUGCGUGAGCUGCUGUGGACUUCUGACAUAUUUUACCACCUAACUGUUGUAUGACUACCUGUCAUUUGAGGACAGUUCAAAACUGUCGAUGUAAGGGGAAAAAAAUCUUACAAGAUUCACCGAUGUUUACCUCCUUGAGAGACAUUGGAUAGAUUUCUAUUUAUUUGAACUUCUUAUCAUCUGAAUUCAAGAAAUAGAAGGAGCACUGACAUGACAGACUUGAACCA